UACGUAGGGUGCAAGCGUUAAUCGGAAUUACUGGGCGUAAAGCGUACGCAGGCGGCUUUGCAAGACAGGUGUGAAAUCCCCGGGCCUAACCUGGGAACUGCAUUUGUGACUGCAUGGCUAGAGUUUGUCAGAGGGGGGUGGAAUUCCACGUGUAGCAGUGAAAUGCGUAGAUAUGUGGAGGAAGACCGAUGGCGAAGGCAGCCCCCUGGGAUGUGACUGACGCUCAUGUACGAAAGCGUGGGGAGCAAACAGG
rnacentral:rRNA from 1 species